GUACCUACGGGACGCAGCAGUGGGGAAUAUUGGGCAAUGGGCGCAAGCCUGACCCAGCAACGCCGCGUGAAGGAAGAAGGCUUUCGGGUUGUAAACUUCUUUUAAGAGGGAAGAGAAGAAGACGGUACCUCUUGAAUAAGCCACGGCCAACUACGUGCCAGCAGCCGCGGUAAUACGUAGGUGGCAAGCGUUAUCCGGAUUUAUUGGGUGUAAAGGGCGUGUAGGCGGGAAUGCAAGUCAGAUGUGAAAACUCAGGGCUCAACCCUGAGCCUGCAUUUGAAACUGUAUUUCUUGAGUGCUGGAGA
rnacentral:rRNA from 1 species